GCGAGAGGGAGCACUCUCCUCUCUGUGCUUCUUCUUCAGCUCCCUCGUGCAACGUACUGAUGCCGGAGCCGGAAGAUGACAUCAUCUUCCGGCUCCGGCAUCAGUACGGUGCGAGAGGGAGCUGAAGAGGAAGCACAUAGAGGAGUGCUCACAACUGUU